rnacentral:misc_RNA from 1 species
GUAGGUGAACCUGCGGAAGGAUCAUUAUUGAAUAAACCUGGCUUGGUUGUUGCUGGUCUUUUCGGAGACAUGUGCACGCCUUGUCAUCUUUAUAUUUCCACCUGUGCACCUUUUGUAGACUUGUAGACAGUUUUCCGAGGCAACUCGGUCGUGAGGAAUUGCUUUUUAACGGGCUUUCCUUGAAUGUCUUCAAGCCUAUGUUUCAUAUACACCAUAAGAAAUGUAACAGAAUGUCAUUAUCAGACUUAUGUCUUAUAAACUAUAUACAACUUUCAGCAACGGAUCUCUUGGCUCCC